UGAAUAAGUUAUUAUUGUUCAGCAGUCGUGCAACGUUGCAACAUUUAUAGUUAAAUGAUUAGUUAAGAGCCCACGUCAAUUAAUUUUAAUAUGUUAAUAGAUAGGUUUAUAAAUGUACUUAUUGACGGUCAGGUAGAUGAAAGUAGUAACAUUUGCAUGUAGCGUUAUUCUAUUUUUUUUUGUUUUUUUGUUUAAAGAGCUUAGACUUUUGUGUGUGUGCUAUCUAUUUUGAUUGUUUCUUUUGCAGAUUGGAAAUGCCUGCAUGAAACUCGUCUAUGAAGAGGGCAAAGACAUAUACCCUGCCAACAUGCAUGUUAUCGCCAGAAUCCUCUAGCCUACUCUCCAGAAUGUGUAAAUCAUACUAUUUGACAUCUACAUCUAAGUCAGAAGUAAAAUAAAAGGUACAGAAGCCACUCUUAAGAGAGAUCCUCCUUCUAGUCUUCCUUUAGAAUAAUCAAAGCCUGGUUUUGGAGAUGACAAACACAGAGACAUCUUUAGGUCCACAGCUAAGAGAUUCCUGAUAACCUACAUUUAAACAAUUUAAAUUAAAUAAUUUUUUUAAUGAUGAUUCUGCCUGUUUAUUAUCAGUUAAGAGUUGUCGUAUUGGGUGGGGGGGGGGGGGGUCGGUAAAUUAAAAUGUUUUUGCUUUCUUUUGAAAGGCAAGGCAGUGGCCAAAAAACUUCAAAGUGGCUUUACACUUUUUCCAAGCAUUCUGCCAAGCCAUCACCUGUGCCGGUAUACACUGAAGAUCAGGAGCAGAUGGAUGCAAUCCACUCUCACCUGACUUCAAUUCUGGACAGCACAGCCACAGUGACGAGAUCAAAUUCAUCAUGGAUGUACUUUUUCCAGAGAGUCCAUUAUCUGUGCCCUGGCUUUUGUGAAAAAACUGUCCAUCCUGGAGUCUGAGGAGAAAUUUCUGCAAGGACCUGACAUUUACAAAAGAGGAAGUGCAAACAUUUUCCAAAAUCUGAUAUAAAUUGGGAGUAGGGACACUAAG